rnacentral:rRNA from 1 species
CAGGAUGAACGCUGGCGGUCUGCUUAACACAUGCAAGUCGAACGGGACUCUUCGGAGUUCAGUGGCGGACGGGUGAGUAACGCGUGAGAAUCUGCCUUCAGGUUCGGGACAACCACUGGAAACGGUGGCUAAUACCGGAUGUGCUAUACAGUAAAAGAUUUAUCGCCUGAAGAUGAGCUCGCGUCUGAUUAGCUAGUUGGUGAGGUAAAAGCUCACCAAGGCGACGAUCAGUAGCUGGUCUGAGAGGAUGACCAGCCACACUGGGACUGAGACACGGCCCAGGCUCCUACGGGAGGCAGCAGUGGGGAAUUUUCCGCAAUGGGCGAAAGCCUGACGGAGCAAGACCGCGUGAGGGAGGAAGGCCCUUGGGUUGUAAACCUCUUUUCUCAGGGAAGAAGAAAGUGACGGUACCUGAGGAAUCAGCCUCGGCUAACUCCGUGCCAGCAGCCGCGGUAAGACGGAGGAGGCAAGCGUUAUCCGGAAUUAUUGGGCGUAAAGCGUCCGUAGGUGGCUGCUCAAGUCUGCCGUCAAAGCACAGGGCUUAACUCUGUUAAGGCGGUGGAAACUGAGGAGCUAGAGAGAGGUAGGGGUAGAGGGA